rnacentral:rRNA from 1 species
UACGAAGGGGGCUAGGCGUUGCUCGGAAUCACUGGGCGUAAGGGUAGCGUAGGCGGGUCUUUAAGUCAGGGGUGAAAUCCUGGAGCUCAACUCCAGAACUGCCUUUGAUACUGAAGAUCUUGAGUUCGGGAGAGGUGAGUGGAACUGCGAGUGUAGAGGUGAAAUUCGUAGAUAUUCGCAAGAACACCAGUGGCGAAGGCGGCUCACUGGCCCGAUACUGACGCUGAGGCACGAAAGCGUGGGGAGCAACAGG